rnacentral:tRNA from 1 species
GCUCCAUUGGCGCAGUUGGUUAGCGCGUGGUACUUAUAGGAAUGCGAAAUGUCGAGGUCGGGAGUUCGAUCCUCCCAUUGGGCA